rnacentral:sRNA from 1 species
GAUUACAAAAUAUAGUGGACAAACUCGAUCAUAAUGUAACAAAACUGGUACAAAUAAUUGAUCACAGCCAGUUACAGAGUUCUUUGUUCCUUCUCCACUCCCACUGUUUCGCUUGACUAGCCUUAA